GGAAGACAGGGCGGCCCGGCCGGCACCCCCCACCCCGAGGCGGGGCGGCUGUGGCCCUGCCCAAGGGUGGGCAGGAUGGAAGAAGAAGGUGUUAAUGGUUGUGUCUCCGUAACGGCUAUCUGGCAAACCUCCCGGAGUGACGUGCAGAGGGCCUGCCCCGGCCUCCCCACCGACGGGCCACCUGUGCGCCGCCGAAUCCCAGAGACCAGCCCAGAGCCCCGCGCAGGGAGCAGGGGGCCAGGCGACCGGACCAGCUAGAGCCAGACGCCCAGCACUCACCCUGUAGCCACAGCGCAGCAAGCAGCAGGAGCCCGAGGCCGUGCAUGGC